UAACCUGCCCAAGAGAUCGGGAUAACACCUGGAAACAGAUGCUAAUACCGGAUAACAACAGAUGAUGCCUAUCAACUGUUUAAAAGAUGGUUCUGCUAUCACUCUUGGAUGGACCUGCGGUGCAUUAGCUAGUUGGUAGGGUGACGGCCUACCAAGGCGAUGAUGCAUAGCCGAGUUGAGAGACUGAUCGGCCACAUUGGGACUGAGACACGGCCCAAACUCCUACGGGAGGCAGCAGCC
rnacentral:rRNA from 1 species